AACACCACGCGCUGUCUGUGUGGUUUCACUGUUACAAGUUUCUUGGCGAUAUGGGGGAAAGUUCCUCACAUACCAACGGAAAAUGGGCUUCACAUACAUGCUGCUGUCUCAUAAUAUGGCGAAGACGAGUCACUUGAAGGCCUAACAGCUCUUAUGAGGAGCAGUCUUGCCAUAGAAGACUGAAAGAAUGAGCUGUAGAAACAACAGGGUGCCUGCUGCAGUAUGACGAGGACGCCCUGAUCAUAGAAGGUCCAGUGUCUUGGCAGGGUGAAAUGGCACUGAUAUCGGUAUGUGGUGAUAUCAGUUAAAAUUAAUGAAUUAAUUCUCAUAUCUGAAUAAUGUGAACACUGGAUUUACCACACACUCACACACACCCUAGUCCUAGAUGAUACAACCAAGGUUACUUUUACCACAGCUCUGGCACUGCAUCAAAUUUCUUUUCUUUUUUAUAGAACUGGACAGGUCAUUUAUUCGUUCCCCUUGUUUUUUGCAGUGUCCUGCAGGAUGCUGUGUCCUGCAAUCCUGUGUGCUGUGCUACAGACGCGUGUGGAGGUCAACCCGAAAUGGGCACAGUAGAGUGAAAGAGGGUAAGCUUAACCUAUAGCCUACGUCAGGGUUGGGGAACCUUUCUCAUUCGAAUGGCCACUUCAAAUUCAUCCGAGGGGCCAUAAAAGUCCUCCAAGGGCCGUACUAUGAACACAAACCAGGAUUUUCCCUUUCACUUUAGGCCUAUAUUGAAGGCAGCCACAUUUAAACAAACGCCAACUUCAGGUUCCCUGAAUAUAACUUAAUUGUAUUGCUAAUGUAUUUUCUAAGAUUCCUUUACAAAAUAUGUCAUAUUUCAUGUGAAGAUGGAAUUGCAUUAAAAUUAUAUCGGGGGCCGGAUAAAACAGCCUCAAGGGUCGCAAACGGCCCUAGAGACAUAGGUUCCCCACCCCUGUCCUACAUUGUCAAUAUGACUUGUGCUACUUUAUAGAUAAGUUGUCAAUGCUGUGCAUUGCUAUGUUUUGAUUUAUUUUCUUACAUCCUACAGAUCCUGGCAGGGAGACGGUAGUGUCCUGCAGGAUGGUGAUGGGCAAUCUUACAAGAGACCACAGAAAACUGAUAUAGUGUAAGAUUAUCCCUGUUGGGCUCAAUAUGUCUUGCUUAUUGAUAUAUUUGCUAUGUCAAUAUGAGGUGCAUGACGAAGUAUUUAUUUAUUUGUUAUUUCUACAGCUCCCAGAAGUGAGACUGAGUGCCUGUUGCAGUAUGACGAGGAAGCAGUGACCAGAGACCUUCAGUAGACCCUGCUGGCAUGAUUGGCGGCUGAAGAACAUAAUCAACAGCAAUGUUUACUUUAUAAUAUUGUACAUACCUGUAUAGUCUGCACUAAAAUGCUGUACCUGUACUAUUUUUCCUCUUACUUUCAUAUUUACCACGUAUUUACUAUGAAUUGACAACUUUUACUCAAAUCCAUUUUUGUAUGUGCCCUGACUAAAACUAUCCUUAAACCUAACCUGUCAGAGGUGUAAUAACAACCUGCUCUUAGCAAUGUGGCAGCAGUCUACUUGGAUGCAGCGGGGAACAUAGAACCCUUUUUUUUGAAAAAGCAUUGUAUGUUUCUGAGUUUUAUGAAUUGUGCCCUUCCCAAACCUAACCUGUCGUAGGGGCCUAUGAAAUCCGUUUUAUUUUUCCUCAUUCAGUUUUUUUCUGAUUUAUUUUUUGCCAAAUUGGUUUUUUUUUU